CUUCCGUAGGUGAACCUGCGGAGGGAUCAUUACCGAGUUAUACAACUCAUCAACCCUGUGAACAUACCUAUAACGUUGCCUCGGCGGGAACAGACGGCCCCGUAACACGGGCCGCCCCCGCCAGAGGACCCCCUAACUCUGUUUCUAUAAUGUUUCUUCUGAGUAAACAAGCAAAUAAAUUAAAACUUUCAACAACGGAUCUCUUGGCUCUGGCAUCGAUGAAGAACGCAGCGAAAUGCGAUAAGUAAUGUGAAUUGCAGAAUUCAGUGAAUCAUCGAAUCUUUGAACGCACAUUGCGCCCGCCAGUAUUCUGGCGGGCAUGCCUGUUCGAGCGUCAUUACAACCCUCAGGCCCCCGGGCCUGGCGUUGGGGAUCGGCGGAAGCCCCCUGCGGGCACAACGCCGUCCCCCAAAUACAGUGGCGGUCCCGCCGCAGCUUCCAUUGCGUAGUAGCUAACACCUCGCAACUGGAGAGCGGCGCGGCCACGCCGUAAAACACCCAACUUCUGAAUGUUGACCUCGAAUCAGGUAGGAAUACCCGCUGAACUUAAGCAUAUCAAUAAGCGGGAGGAAA
rnacentral:rRNA from 1 species